UGGGGCCGAGGGCCGGAGGACGCGGGGGCGCCCCGGGGGCGCGCGGCGGGGUGUCCGCGGCCACCCCCGCCGUGGUGAGUGCGUCCCGGGGCGGCGGGUCUGCGGUGGGUGCGCGGCGGGGUCGGCCGCCAGCAGACUGUCACUGCGGGCAGGGGGCCCCACGAUGCUGCACCCCCGCGAGGGCUCGGGGGCUGUGGAGGUGAAGACCGAGCCACUGGAUGACGGAGCCCUGCCUUCUCAGAGCCCUGCGCGCCCACCAAGAAAGCUCUUCAGGAAGAAGGGGAGCAUGCCCGCCGGACCCCUGCCAGCCUGGAGCACGCCAUUCCAUUCGCUUUGACUUUUCCUUGCAUUUGGAGGACUCCUGCUCUGCUUUGCCUCACAAACUCCUCCUCAGCCUUCAAGACUCAGCUCAGACAUCACCACCACUUUCAAGCCUUACUAGUGUUUGCAGAAAUGUGCGGGUGGGAAAGCCCUCCCUCAGCAUUUCUGCCUUCUCUCGCCCCCGCUGUGUCGCAUUGUGAUGUCACGGUGGCUGUCCCCAUCUCUCUAGACUGGGAAUCCCCGAAAGAUGCAGCUCUGGCUGCUGUGAUGUAAGAUUAUAAAAUACAGCUGCGUAAAUAAAUGGAAGUUGAUUUUCUGUCA